rnacentral:rRNA from 1 species
GAUGAACGCUGGCGGCGUGCCUAAUACAUGCAAGUCGAGCGAACAGACGAGGAGCUUGCUCCUUCGACGUUAGCGGCGGACGGGUGAGUAACACGUAAGUAACCUACCUAUAAGACUGGGAUAACUGCGGGAAACCGGAGCUAAGACCGGAUAAUAUGUCGAACCUCAUGGUUCGAUAGUGAAAGAUGUCUUUUCUAUCACUUAUAGAUGGACCUGCGCCUUGUUCGAUAGUUGGUAAGGUAACGGCUUACCAAGGCAACGAUACGUAGCCGACCUGAGAGGGUGAUUGGCCACCCUGGAAGUGAGAGAGGGUCCAGACUCCUACGGGAGGCAGCAGUAGGGAAUCUUCCGCAAUGGGCGAAAGCCUGACGGAGCAACGCCGCGUGAGUGAUGAAGGUCUUCGGAUCGUAAAACUCUGUUAUUAGGGAAGAACAAACGUGUAAGUAACUGUGCACGUAUUGACGGUACCUAAUCAGAAAGCCACGGCUAACUACGUG